rnacentral:rRNA from 1 species
GCAAGUCGAGGGGUAUGCUUCUUCGGAAGCAGAGACCGGCGCACGGGUGCGUAACGCGUAUGCAAUCUACCUUUUACAGAGGGAUAGCCCAGAGAAAUUUGGAUUAAUACCUCAUAGUAUAGCUGAAUCGCAUGAUUCUACUAUUAAAGUCACAACGGUAAAAGAUGAGCAUGCGUCCCAUUAGCUAGUUGGUAAGGUAACGGCUUACCAAGGCUACGAUGGGUAGGGGUCCUGAGAGGGAGAUCCCCCACACUGGUACUGAGACACGGACCAGACUCCUACGGGAGGCAGCAGUGAGGAAUAUUGGACAAUGGGCGCAAGCCUGAUCCAGCCAUGCCGCGUGCAGGAUGACGGUCCUAUGGAUUGUAAACUGCUUUUAUACGAGAAGAAACACUGCUUCGUGAAGCAGCUUGACGGUAUCGUAAGAAUAAGGAUCGGCUAACUCCGUGCCAGCAGCCGCGGUAAUACGGAGGAUCCAAGCGUUAUCCGGAAUCAUUGGGUUUAAAGGGUCCGUAGGCGGUUUAAUAAGUCAGUGGUGAAAGCCCAUCGCUCAACGGUGGAACGGCCAUUGAUACUGUUAAACUUGAAUUAUUAGGAAGUAACUAGAAUAUGUAGUGUAGCGGUGAAAUGCUUAGAGAUUACAUGGAAUACCAAUUGCGAAGGCAGGUUACUACUAAUGGAUUGACGCUGAUGGACGAAAGCGUGGGUAGCGAACAGGAUUAGAUACCCUGGUAGUCCACGCCGUAAACGAUGGAUACUAGCUGUUGGGAGCAAUCUCAGUGGCUAAGCGAAAGUGAUAAG